GGCCAGCAUCGGUUUGGGCGGUAGGAUAAUGGCGUAGGAAUGUGACUNUACUUCGGUAAAGUGUUAUAGCCUGCGUUGAUGCUGCCUGCCUAGACGCGAGGACUGCGAUUUUAUCAAGGAUGCUGGNAUAAU
rnacentral:rRNA from 1 species